rnacentral:rRNA from 1 species
AUGCAGGGCAGCAGUCAUGUCAAGAGUUGGGCGAAAACAGUGCAAAAAGAAUGGAAAAUUCUAGAGAACGACUUACCAGAAACUAUUUACGUGCGGGUGUUCGAGGACCGCAUGGACCUACUCCGGGUGGUGAUGGUGGGUGCGAGCGGGACACUGUACCAUCACGGGCUCUUCUUUUUCGACUUGCAGCUGCCUCCAUCAUACCCGGCUGCGCCACCGCAAGUGUACCACCACUCCUUCGGCCUACGCCUCAAUCCCAACCUCUAUGAGUCCGGUACCGUGUGUCUUAGCCUGCUAGGCACAUUUGGAGGCGAGGGCAGUGAGGUCUGGUCACCGUCGACAUCAAGCAUCCUCCAAGUCGUUGUCUCCAUCCAGGGCCUCGUGCUCAACGACCAACCAUACUACAACGAGGCUGGAUAUGAGACUCUGGUUGGCAAACCAGAGGGCCGCCGCAAUGCCUUGCCCUAUAGCGAAAAUGCUUACCUGCUUACCCUCCAGACCAUGCUCCAUCUUUUGCGCCGGCCACCUCAGGGAUUUCAAGAAUUUGUCAAGGAUCACUUCCGCCAUCGGGGGAGGUUCGUGCUCGGGACAUGCACCGCGUGGUUGAAGGGAUGCGGUGUCAGCAGUGCCCAUGCCACCGAAGCGGGAGGGGAACAUCCAUGUUCUGCGGGGUUAAGGCUUGCACUCGCCAACAUGGUGUCGAGCCUCGUGGCAGCCUUCAUGGAGAUCGGGGCCGAGGGUUGUGAAGAGUUCCAGGAGUUGCGAGUCCCAUUACCAUGUGCUCGCAACACCACUCACACUAGUGCAGAACCGGGCAAUAGCACCGGUUCGUAA